UUUCCAGACUCCUACGGGAGGCAGCAGUGGGGGAUAUUGCACAAUGGGGGGAACCCUGAUGCAGCGACGCCGCGUGGGUGAAGGAGCGUUUCGGCGCGUAAAGCCCUAUCGGCAGGGAAGAAGGAGGACGGUACCUGACUAAGAAGCCCCGGCUAACUACGUGCCAGCAGCCGCGGUAAUACGUAGGGGGCAAGCGUUAUCCGGAUUUACUGGGUGUAAAGGGGGCGCAGACGGCAGCGCAAGCCAGGAGUGAAAGCCCGGGGCCCAACCCCGGGACUGCAUUGGAAACUGCGAGGCUGGAGUGUCGGAGAGGCAGGCGGAAUUCCUAGUGUAGCGGUGAAAUGCGUAGAUAUUAGGAGGAACACCAGUGGCGAAGGCGGCCUGCUGGACGAUGACUGACGCUGAGGCUCGAAAGCGUGGGGAGCAAACAGGAUUAGAUACCCGGGUAUC
rnacentral:rRNA from 1 species